rnacentral:misc_RNA from 1 species
GUCAAGAAAUGGAUAUGGCCACCUGAAGCAUCAACAAUGCUAUUGGUGAGACAAACAAAAAAGAGGAUGAGGAAGGAGAAAAGGGAAAUGAAAAAUUACCAAAUUGGUAUACAAGCAUGGAUAAUCCACUGGAAAAUGACAAAACUACCCGUCCAUAGAAUGAAGUAAGAAAACCGAAACCAAGGAAAUGGCAAACAAUUCAAAGCUGUAUCACCAAGGAGUACGAUAAUAUUGAGCGUAUGCAUAUUAACUGUCAUCUGAAAUGAUUGAAAACAUGGCCAUUCAGAUGCAGUAGACCACAACAUGGUAAGAAAAAAGUUAUGAAGAAAAGAAAAAACAAAAACAAUCAAAAUGGAUAACCAAGAUGAGAAGAAAUAGAAGCAAUAAAACAAGGACUCUAUCAUAUAUUAUGGCCACUAUGUCUAAUUUGCUGAACUUAUGAACCCCAAAAGAUAAUAUAUAAUGCACAAACAAUAUAGUCAAGCCAUCUUGACUGCUUCCAAGGUCGGGCAUGGUCCCAAGACCUCUUGGAGCACAGCAUGUACUUGAUCAUUCCACCAUCCUAAGAGCUUUACAUAUGCACGUAUAUGUAAUAUGUCCAUAUUAAGGACGCACAAAUUGUAGAAUUAAAUAAUUAAUUUGGAGGUUAAGAAUGAUAGAAACAAAAAAAAUAAUUUAAAUGUGUUAUGACAUCUUUCUGUUAUUCUUACUCAUGAGACAUUAAGAUGCCAAAUACAAUACAAAUGCAAACUUCUUAUUUCGACUAAAGCCUGCCAGACUAGCUAGCGCAAGCUUCAUGUUCAAGCAACUGGUCAUUGUACAAGUUGGAGAAGGAAGCUUGCAUGGCAAUACCACCAUCGAGAUCAAGAAGAUUGCAACAACAUCAGGGCUCUCAGUUUAAGAAUUAUAAACAAUAUCAUGAAAAAACAAUAUAGCUAAGAAACACCGAACGCUGGUUUCGCUCCUAAUCAAUAAGACAUGGAAAAAACCAGGCAACGAAGCAAGAAAUAUAUCAAAUUACCCAAGUGUAUAUCCUUUUCUACCUAAGCACAAUGCUGCCUUCCAAAGUCCUGCCAUAGAUAACUGAUUGGCUUGGGCUAAAUGGAUGCCAGGAAUUAUAUCUACAUGAAUGUAAUACAGACGCAUCCUAAAUAUGCACAACAUGAAUAAACUCUUUCAAUGACUGAUAAUAUAAGAAACAAGAAGAGUAUGUGUUUAAAUGUCGCUGUAUCAAGUGUGCUCACAUACAGAUCUGGAGGCAGUAAUCAUUAAAGCAAAUGUAAAACAAGGGCUGAUUAAGAAUGCGUUACUUACAAAAUUCAUAGAGUAAUCUUUGAUGGUAAGAAAUGGAAAAAUAAUGGCCCAAUAAACAACAUCAGUGAGCAUUACUGCCCCAGCAUUCAUCUGAAAUAGAACUUGAAAGAGAUAAUUAGAAACAGUUGCUGCUUGAAAACCGUAAAUUUCCUCUUGGGUAUUUGAUAAUUUUCUUGCAUUGAGUAUAUUUGACCUUUCCUCGCGUAUUAGAGGCACACGGUACCCUUGUUCAACAUCAUCCCCAAUGUGAUGGAUAUUGGAUGCUGCCAUGCCCAUUUUAUGAUAUCGGUAACACCCACAGACAGAAAGCAGUACUCCAAACUACAAAUCAUGUCGAGAACAUAAAGAACAUGGUAAUACAAAUGAUCCAAAAGCACAAUGAUGCUAGAAAUAUACUUCCAACAAAUGCAAAAAGUUGUGUAGAAGCAGACUGUACUCAUGACCAUGACAGCAACAAUAGCUAUGUAUAUGGAUCACACAUUCAAUCAAAAUUUGAGGGCGUUCAGCAUAAGGACCCAGAGAAAGAAAACACAUACCCCAAAAUAAAUGGUAACAGAAGUAAAAGUCCACUGAGUAUAGUAGUAAAACAUGACAAAUCCAUUAGCAGAAACUUUGCUAAUGAGCGACGCCAAAAGCAAAGAGAAAGCAAUAACUCGAUAAGCCAACAACCAAAUGGGGUGGAUUUGCUUAAGACAUGGCCUCCAAGCUCUAUCUUCAAACAAUGAAUGGUGUAUCUGUUGCUGAGUUUUUCCUCUGCAAGAUCUCGAAUGAUCAAAAUUUUCAUGUUUCCAUAUAAUAAAUAUUGCUACAACCACAGGGGUGAAGACACAGAUUGCACAUAGCAAGACGCUCCAGCUUAACCAGUAACUCAAGGUGGUAGAAUCAGGAGUAACCAGCAGCUGCAUCCUGACCAAGAAAUGACAAUAUUAUCUCUGCCGUUUCCUUGAUUACUCAUCAAUUAUCCAAUAUAGAUAGAGGAAAUGAUGAAAAAGAAUGCUUCUUUAGUAAUAGAGUGGAAGCAAAUGAAUCAGCAGGCUACAAACGCAAUGAUUUCAAGGACGCAUAGGCAGAAGCCAUCAGACAAGACGAAAUGAAAAAAUGGGGCAAGCUUGGGAAAACUUCUCUUUCAUGGUGGAAGUCGAGUACUCAAGUUUUUGGGAUCAAAGAAGAGAAUUUAUAUGCAGAAUCUAAUGACGAGCUGAUUCAAAUAUGUGGAAUCAAGAACUAAUAAUCCCAAAUUCUGGGUCACCAAAUUUUCAUGGACAUGGGCGGAUAAGAAAUGUGAUUAAAUUAUACAUAUAUAUAUAAUAUUAUAUGGAACUGAUUAACAGAAG